AGAGUUUGAUCCUGGCUCAGGAUGAACGCUGGCGGCGUGCCUAACACAUGUAAGUCGAACGGGCAUUUUGGGAAACUGGAGUGCUAGUGGCAGACGGGUGCGUAACACGUGGGUGACCUACCUCAGAGUGUGGAAUAACGGAUCGAAAGGUUCGCUAAUACCACAUAUGCUCGAUGAUUUUGUUCAUCGAGAAAAGCCGUAAGGCGCUUUGAGAGGGACCCGCGGCCCAUCAGGUAGUUGGUGAGGUAAUGGCCCACCAAGCCGAUGACGGGUAGCUGGUCUGAGAGGACGACCAGCCACAAUGGAACUGAGAUACGGUCCAUACUCCUACGGGAGGCAGCAGUGAGGAAUAUUGCGCAAUGGGCGAAAGCCUGACGCAGCGACGCCGCGUGGGUGACGAAGGCCCUCGGGUCGUAAAACCCUUUUGGCAGGGACGAGUGAGGACGGUACCUGUCGAAUAAGUCUCGGCGAACUACGUGCCAGCAGCCGCGGUAAAACGUAGGAGGCGAGCGUUAUCCGGAUUCACUGGGCGUAAAGCGCACGUAGGCGGUCGGGUAAGUCGGAUGUUAAAGCCCCUGGCUCAACUAGGGGAGGUCAUUCGAUACUGCUCGGCUUGAGGAUGAGAGAGGAAAGUGGAAUUCCCGGUGUAGCGGUGGAAUGCGUAGAGAUCGGGAGGAACACCAGUGGCGAAAGCGGCUUUCUGGCUCAUUCCUGACGCUGAGUGUGCGAAAGCGUGGGUAGCGAACGGGAUUAGAUACCCCGGUAGUCCACGCCCUAAACGAUGAGAGCUGGGUGUUGGUGGGAUUUCCCAUCAGUGCCGAAGCAAACGCGUUAAGCUCUCCGCCUGGGGACUACGAACGCAAGUUUAAAACUCAAAGGAAUAGACGGGGGCCCGCACAAGCAGCGGAGCGUGUGGUUCAAUUCGAUGCAACACGAAGAACCUUACCAAGGCUUGACAUGCAUGUAGUAGGAAACUGAAAGGGGCCCGACCCGCAAGGGAGCAUGCACAGGUGCUGCAUGGCUGUCGUCAGCUCGUGCCGUGAGGUGUUGGGUUAAGUCCCGCAACGAGCGCAACCCCUGUCGCUAGUUAUAUGUGUCUAGCGAUACUGCCGGAUUAACUCCGGAGGAAGGCGGGGAUGACGUCAAGUCAGCAUGGCCUUUAUGUCUUGGGCUACACACACGCUACAAUGGGUACUACAAAGCGUUGCCAAACCGCGAGGUGGAGCUAAUCGCACAAAAGUGUCCUCAGUUCAGAUUGCAGGCUGCAACUCGCCUGCAUGAAGUCGGAGUUGCUAGUAAACGCGCGUCAGCUAUAGUGCGUUGAAUGCGUUCCCGGGCCUUGUACUCACCGCCCGUCACGUCAUGGAAGUCGGUAACACUUGAAGUCGGUGACUGAACCGCAAGGACAGAGCCGCCGAGGGUGGGACUGGUAACUGGGACGAAGUCGUAACAAGGUA
rnacentral:rRNA from 1 species